UUAACCUGGCCUUGACAUACUAAGAACUUUCCAGAGAUGGAUUGGUGCCUUCGGGAACUUAGAUACAGGUGCUGCAUGGCUGUCGUCAGCUCGUGUCGUGAGAUGUUGGUAAGUCCCGCAACGAGCGCAACCCUUUUCCUUAUUGCCAGCGGGUUAAGCCGGGAACUUUAAGGAUACUGCCAGUGACAAACUGGAGGAAGGCGGGGACGACGUCAAGUCAUCAUGGCCCUUACGGCCAGGGCUACACACGUGCUACAAUGGUCGGUACAAAGGGUUGCUACCUCGCGAGAGGAUGCUAAUCUCAAAAAAGCCGAUCGUAGUCCGGAUCGCAGUCUGCAACUCGACUGCGUGAAGUCGGAAUCGCUAGUAAUCGCGGAUCAGAAUGCCGCGGUGAAUACGUUCCCGGGCCUUGUACACACCGCCCGUCACACCAUGGGAGUUUGUUGCACCAGAAGUAGGUAGUCUAACCGCAAGGAGGACGCUUACCACGGUGUGGCCGAUGACUGGGGUGAAGUCGUAACAAGGUAAGCGUAGAUGA
rnacentral:rRNA from 1 species